rnacentral:rRNA from 1 species
AGAGUUUGAUCCUGGCUCAGAACGAACGUUGGCGGCGUGGAUUAGGCAUGCAAGUCGURCGGRAUCCAGCAAUGGGUYYAGUGGCGAACGGGYGAGUAUCGCGUGGGAAACCUACCCUUGAGACGGGGAUAACACCUCCAACGGGGUGCUAAUACCGGAUAAGACCACGRAGUCGCAUGGCUUCGCGGUCAAAGGUGGCCUCUACUUGUAAGCUACCACUUAAGGAUGGUCCCGCGUCCCAUUAGCUUGUUGGUAGGGUAAUGGCCUACCAAGGCGACGAUGGGUAGCUGGUCUGAGAGGAUGGUCAGCCACACUGGGACUGAGAUACGGCCCAGACUCCUACGGGAGGCAGCAGUCGAGAGGCUUCGGCAAUGGGGGAAACCCUGACCGAGCGACGCCGCGUGGGCGAUGAAGGCCGUUAGGUUGUAAAGCCCUGUCGAGCGGGAAAAAGUGUAGGCGGGUGAACAAUCCGCUUAYUUGAUGGUACCGUUAAAGGAAGCUCCGGCCAACUCCGUGCCAGCARCCGCGGUAAUACGGGGGGAGCGAACGUUGUUCGGAAUUACUGGGCGUAAAGGGCGUGCAGGCGGUCCUGUAAGAGAGGUGUGAAAUGCCCUGGCUCAACCAGGGACAUGCACCUCUGACUGCAGGACUUGAGUAUAGGAGAGGAUGGGGGAAUUCCCGGUGUAGCGGUGAAAUGCAUUGAUAUCGGGAGGAACACCAGUGGCGAAGGCGCCCRUCUGGCCUAAUACUGACGCUCAGGCGCGAAAGCUAGGGGAGCAAACAGGAUUAGAUACCCUGGUAGUCC